CACGUAGGGGGCAAGCGUUGUCCGGAUUUAUUGGGCGUAAAGAGCUCGUAGGCGGUUCGGUAAGUCGGGUGUGAAACCUCCAGGCUCAACCUGGAGACGCCACCCGAUACUGCUAUGACUAGAGUCCGGUAGGGGAGCGUGGAAUUCCUGGUGUAGCGGUGAAAUGCGCAGAUAUCAGGAGGAACACCAGCGGCGAAGGCGGCGCUCUGGGCCGGAACUGACGCUGAGGAGCGAAAGCGUGGGGAGCAAACAGG
rnacentral:rRNA from 1 species